rnacentral:rRNA from 1 species
AUUGAACGCUGGCGGAAUGCUUUACACAUGCAAGUCGAACGGCAGCACGGACUUCGGUCUGGUGGCGAGUGGCGAACGGGUGAGUAAUGUAUCGGAACGUGUCCAGUCGUGGGGGAUAACGUAGUGAAAAUUACGUUAAUACCGCAUACGAUCUAUGGAUGAAAGCGGGGGAUCGCAAGACCUCGCGCGAUUGGAGCGGCCGAUAUCAGAUUAGGGAGUUGGUGGGGUAAAGGCCCACCAAGCCAACGAUCGGUAGCUGGUCUGAGAGGACGACAAGCCACACUGGAACUGAGACACGGUCCAGACUCCUACGGGAGGCAGCAGUGGGGAAUUUUGGACAAUGGGCGAAAGCCUGAUCCAGCCAUUCCGCGUGCAGGAUGAAGGCCCUCGGGUUGUAAACUGCUUUUGUACAGAACGAAAAGGUUUCUACUAAUACUAGGAGCUCAUGACGGUACUGUAAGAAUAAGCACCGGCUAACUACGUGCCAGCAGCCGCCGUAA